GACCGAUAGUGAACCAGUACCGUGAGGGAAAGGUGAAAAGAAUCCUGAACAAGGAAGUAAAAAGAACCUGAAACCAUACGCUUACAAGCGGUCGGAGUCAAUUUAUUUGAUGACGGCGUGCCUUUUGCAUAAUGAGCCUACGAGUUACUCCUGUUGUGCGAGGUUAAGCCCCUGAGGGGUGGAGCCGCAGCGAAAGCGAGUCUGAAUAGGGCGUACAGUACAGCGGGGUAGACGCGAAACCAAGUGAUCUAUCCAUGGCCAGGGUGAAGUGGCGGUAAAACGCCAUGGAGGCCCGAACCCGUUGACGUUGAAAAGUCUUGGGAUGAGCUGUGGAUAGGGGUGAAAGGCCAAUCAAACUUGGAGAUAGCUCGUACUCCCCGAAAUAUAUUUAGGUAUAGCGUCUGGUUUUGUCUGUCCGGAGGUAGAGCACUGAUUAGGCUAGGGCCCUUCACCGGGUACCAACCCUAGACAAACUCCGAAUGCCGGCACAGAGCCACCAGGCAGUCAGUGGCAGGGUGAUAACGUCCUGUCGCGAGAGGGAAACAACCCAGACCACCAGCUAAGGCCCCUAAAUAACAGCUAAGUUGAUCAAAGAAAGUUGAGUUGCUCAGACAACUAGGAGGUUGGCUUAGAAGCAGCCACCCUUUAAAGAAAGCGUAAUAGCUC
rnacentral:rRNA from 1 species